GCCUUCUUGGUGUAGUGGUCAGCAUGCUCGACGCGUAACCGAGAGGUCCGUGGUUCGAUUCCCGGCGAAAGCG
rnacentral:tRNA from 1 species